CCUACGGGUGGCUGCAGUGAGGAAUAUUGGUCAAUGGGCGUAAGCCUGAACCAGCCAAGUCGCGUGAGGGAUGAAGGUUCUAUGGAUCGUAAACCUCUUUUAUCAGGGAAUAAAGUGCGGGACGUGUGCCGUUUUGUAUGUACCUUAUGAAUAAGGCUCGGCUAACACCGGGCCAACCGCCGCGGUAAUACGGGGGAUCCGAGCGUUAUCCGGAUUUAUUGGGGUUAAAGGGUGCGUAGGCGGCCUUUUAAGUCAGCGGUGAAAGUCUGUGGCUCAACCAUAGAAUUGCCGUUGAAACUGGGAGUCUUGAGUAUGUUUGAGGCAGGCGGAAGGCGUGGUGUAGCGGUGAAAUGCUUAGAUAUCACGCAGAACCCCGAUUGCGAAGGCAGCCUGCCAGGCCAUGACUGACGCUGAUGCACGAAAGCGUGGGGAUCAAACAGGAUUAGAUACCCGUGUAGUC
rnacentral:rRNA from 1 species